CUGAUGCUGGGAGGGAUUGGGGGCAGGAGGAGAAGGAGACGACAGAGGAUGAGAUGGCUGGAUGGCAUCACUGACUCGAUGGACUUGUGGAAGCUGAGGUCCCAAGGUCUAGCGAGUCCAGAAAUGUGAUUGUAAAAGGGACAGUUACUACAGCUGUUUUUGAGCGUCCUGGAAAGUGAAAGUGUUAGUCACUCAGUCGUGUCCGACCCUUUGUGACCCCGUGGACAGAUGGAAUUCUCCAGGAAAGAGUACUGAAGUGGAUUGCCAUUUCCUUCUCCAAGGACCCCUUCAUAAGUGGUGGGAUAUAGAGAGUUGCAAUAGGGGUGAUAUCUCUGGGCAAGGCGAGCACAAAGAAAUUAUUCUUUGAAAGGCCAUCAAGAAGCUCAGCUUUUACUGGGUAGGAGCAGGUAUGCGUAUCUAAUUUGUUAUGAUAUGAUGCGAUAAUGACUCUGAUAGUAACAAAAUUCUAUAGGAGUAAAAAGUAACUGCC
ensembl:lncRNA